GUCCCUCCUGAGACGCGACAGAAAUGGCCCCGCACAUGAGAGGCCUGAUGCUCGGAGGCCCUGCGGCCCCUGGGCGACUCAAUGCACUGCGGGGAUAGGACUGGAUUCACAGCCCCGCCCCAAGCUUCCUGCCAUCGUGGGAGCCACAAGCUCCACCUUUCCCUGUCAGGUGAGAGCAAGUUCCAAACUAUUGCUCCCCUCCUCUGUGACCAAGUGACAAACGGCGUUUCAUUUAUGUUGACGGGAACAGCAAAAUCAGCCUGGCACUGGAGAAUUGUUUUUCCAUUAGUGGUUCUGCAUAACGAAACCCGCUAAGUGAAUAAAGUACCAAGUGUGGGACUGAA